rnacentral:siRNA from 1 species
GCAAGGGACCUUCAAGAU